UCCUUUGUAGCUCAGUCAGUAAAGAAUCUGCCUGCAGUGCAGGAGACCCAGGUUCAAUCCCUGGGUUGGGAA
rnacentral:tRNA from 1 species